UCCUGGAUCUUGAUCUCAAUGAAGAUCAAUGAAACCAUCUAUCCUCCAAACAGAUAUAACGAUUAACAUGCGUAGCUUCAAAACCAAGAGUAAUGGCAAAUUUGUUUCCCGUAUUUGGAUUAUCAUCAGAUUCAGACCAAGAACACAGUUCUAGUUUCUGGAAUUUAAAGACAUGCAGAGAGGUAAAGUGACAAGCUUAAUUUCAUUACACAAAAGACAAACAUAUUCAACCCGAUUUGCUUAUGUAAAUUGUUAAUUCAAUACCUUUUUCAUUGUUGUUCAGAUCGUAACACUAAACCCACUUUCACACAGAUCCUGGUAGCCUCAUCGAUCGGGAUCAUUGUUGCCGCAGCAGUGCGGUAUCAUGUAAAGAAGCGAAGGGAUCAAAAGAUCAUUCCAC
rnacentral:lncRNA from 1 species